CGAUGAUGCCCACUUGUGGGUGGAUUAGUGGCGAACGGGUGAGUAACACGUGAGUAACCUGCCCUUAACUCUGGGAUAAGCCUGGGAAACUGGGUCUAAUACCGGAUAUGACUCCUCAUCGCAUGGUGGGGGGUGGAAAGCUUUAUUGUGGUUUUGGAUGGACUCGCGGCCUAUCAGCUUGUUGGUGAGGUAAUGGCUUACCAAGGCGACGACGGGUAGCCGGCCUGAGAGGGUGACCGGCCACACUGGGACUGAGACACGGCCCAGACUCCUACGGGAGGCAGCAGUGGGGAAUAUUGCACAAUGGGCGCAAGCCUGAUGCAGCGACGCCGCGUGAGGGAUGACGGCCUUCGGGUUGUAAACCUCUUUCAGUAGGGAAGAAGCGAAAGUGACGGUACCUGCAGAAGAAGCGCCGGCUAACUACGUGCCA
rnacentral:rRNA from 1 species